rnacentral:rRNA from 1 species
AGAGUUUGAUCAUGGCUCAGGAUGAACGCUAGCUACAGGCUUAACACAUGCAAGUCGAGGGGAAACGACAUCGAAAGCUUGCUUUUGAUGGGCGUCGACCGGCGCACGGGUGAGUAACGCGUAUCCAACCUGCCCAUCACUUGGGGAUAACCUUGCGAAAGUAAGACUAAUACCCAGUGAUAUCUCUAGAAGACAUCUGAAAGAGAUUAAAGAUUUAUCGGUGAUGGAUGGGGAUGCGUCUGAUUAGCUUGUCGGCGGGGUAACGGCCACCAAGGCUACGAUCAGUAGGGGUUCUGAGAGGAAGGUCCCCCANAUUGGAACUGAGACACGGUCCAAACUCCUACGGGAGGCA